GCUGUGAUGGCCGAGUGGUCAAGGCGUUGGACUUGAAAUCCAAUGGGGUCUCCCCGCGUAGGUUCGAACCCUGCUCACAGCG